UUCAAAUUAAUGGCAAGGGACACUUUUGAAACAAUUUUAAUUUUAUAUUUUGGCUUUGCAUAUAAGCCAAGUAGUAGAUAAGAUGAAAAUGCAUUGAUGAGAACUGAUGAUGAUCAUUAACUGAAAAAAAAUCUUAAACAGAAUUUCAAGAAUUUUUAUAAUAAAAAAUAAUGUGUCUAUAUAUCUACACAUUUAUAUAUGGGGGACAGAAGGAUCUAGAAAGACUGUCACUAAGAUGUUAACAGUGAUAAUCACUUUCCGGCAGUGUGUCAUGUUUUUAUUUUGCUAUUUCAUUUUCUAACUUUCUAAAACAUCAGUGCAUAACUUAUAUUAGCAAAAAUAGACGUAAAAUAUUUUAAAUGAAUACAGAGUAACUUAGUUAUAUUUAUUGAGUUAGGAUAAAAGCUUUUUUCCUGAUUAAAAAAAAAAACACGAAGUGUUUUUGCUCAGGAACAUGAAGCAGUAGCAUGAUGAUUAUGAGUCUGUGGAAGGAUCACGUCACAAGAAGGUGCAAACGGGGAAUGAAAAAGCCUCAUCCCUUUGCGACGUCAAAGCGACGAUGGGCACCAGGCUUCUCAGCUGUGCAUCCCUGUGUCUCCUGGCAGCAGACUCUUUUCAUGCCAAAGUCACACAGACUCCAGGAUAUUUGGUCAAAAGAAAAGGACAGAAAACAGAGAUGGAUUGUACCCCCGAAAAAGGACACACUUUUGUUUAUUGGUAUCAACAGAACCAGAAUAAAGACUUGAUGUUUUUGAUUUCCUUUCAGAAUGAACAAAUUCUUGAAGAAACGGAGAUGCACAAGAAGCGAUUCUUAUCUCAAUGCCCCAGGAACUCACCCUGCAGCCUGGCAAUCCUGUCCUCGGACCCAGGAGACAGGGCCCUGUAUCUCUGUGCCAGCAGUCAAUCCACAGCACUGAAAUGUCAGUUCCUCUCAGCACACAAACUUGUCAUAGACCCAGCUCAGGAAGCAGGUGAUGUAUUAGGUUGCAAGGGAGUAACAAAAAAUAACUGAAGCCAGCUUAAGCCACAGUGGAAUUCAACAAAAGGAUCAAGGGUGUUUAGCAGAAGUCAAGAAGUGAUGGGCAGACAAUUCUGAAAAGGCACCAGUAGGGUGGAGCUGUAGAAUGGCUGUCUCUCCAGCUCUGAUUUUUCUUCAGUUUUGGCUGUUGCAUGCUUUUCUCUCCCUGCACACCAUCUCU